rnacentral:rRNA from 1 species
GACGAACCGUGCGAACGUUAUUCGGAAUCACUGGGCUUAAAGGGCGCGUAGGCGGGCGACCAAGUCAGGGGUGAAAUCGUUCGGCCCAACCGGACAAGGGCCCCUGAUACUGGUUGUCUCGAGGGAGGUAGGGGUCGAUGGAACUUCCGGUGGAGCGGUGAAAUGCGUAGAUAUCGGAAGGAACGCCGGUGGCGAAAGCGAUCGACUGGACCUCUUCUGACGCUGAGGUACGAAAGCUAGGGUAGCGAACGGG